UUCUAAUUUUUUUAUUGUUUAUGCAGUUAAGUACUAGUCAGUUUUUAGUGUUGAAAAAUGGGAUUACUUUAAAUGCGACACAAAGCGAACAAAUCACUACUUUUAGCAAUGGAAAGAGCACUCUUAAUCUUACGGAUCUGGACUUUUCUACUUUAUCAGUGGAACUGAUCAUCAUUGCAACAAUGGCCAAAAACUGCUUGUUGAAGUUAUGGCGCCGCAUACAAUUCCAGCAUUGCGGUUCCGCCUGAAGGCUCGUCAUCGCCGAUGAUUACAAUAAACCUGAUUCUGAUUCUGGAUAAUUUGUCUGCAGAAUCUGUGCUGGAUGCAAUGCUGAGAUUGGCCAUGGGUGAUUUUUAAGGUUCAUGGGAGGUGUCUGCCAUCCACAAUUUCUGCUGCCAUGCUUGCCGAUUGCCAAUCACUGAUUAUGAGGUUCCUCCACCGAGCCAAUCAGGACUCUGAUACAAUUUGUUGGAGAAUCCAGGGAGCGAGGCCCGGAAGUGUCAAUGAGACAAACGUUCAUGGUUAUAAAAUAUUUUGACACCGGAUAUCUACCCAAAAUCUUAAGAUAAUGGGAUAUGAGUCACCUUUCUUAUAAACUUAAUAUUUCCUCCAUUUCUGAUUGAUGUGAGACCUUACCACUCACAUUUGAAAUCCAACAAUAUGGGUGGUUUGACAUCCAAGAAGAGAGGAAUGUAUUGUUCUGAUAAUUGCUUUCAAACUUCUAGAAGUGGAGCUAAAUGGUGAUUGUAUCUGGGUUUUAGUAGUUUUAUAGGCAAUGCUAAUAACACUCAUGUUGAGUUAUUGGCUAUUUUUCUUGGUGUUAAGCUUGCUAAGUCUAUUGGUCGUCGUGUUGUGUGUUGCUAGCACAAAGUUAAAUUUAAAAUAUUAAAGUUAACACAAA